GACGAACGCUGGCGGCUGGCUUAACACAUGCAAUUCGAACGGAAAGCCCCGUGUUUUGUGGGUGGGUGAGUUGCGGACGGGUUCGUAACCAUUUCAUUACCUUACCUUUGCCUUUGGGUAACUUUCAGCAAAUGUGGCCUUUUCCGGGAUGGUAUCUCCUGUGUCUGUCGGGGGGUGGUAAAUUUUCGGGGGUUGGGGAUGGACUCGUGGCUAAUCGGCUUUUUGUUGGGGUGGUGGAUUCCCAAGGCUUGGACGGGUGGCAGGCCUGAGAGGGUGACAGGCAACAUUGGGACUGAGAUACGGCACAGACUCAUAAGGGAGGCAGCAGUGGGGAAUAGUGCAAAAUGGGCGGAAGGCGGAUGCAGCAAAGCCGCGUGGGGGAUGACGGCCUUCGGGUUGUAAACCGAUGUCGCCUGGGACGAAGCGUGAGUGACGGUAAUGGGUAAAGAAGCACCGGCUAACUACGUG
rnacentral:rRNA from 1 species